AUUUUAUCAUGUUAAUGUACUUGUGUAACCUUUUAUAUUUUCUAAAUAUGAAAAAUAUUUUACAGAGAUUACAUUUGACGCAGCUGCUUCCUGAAGACCUAGAGAUCACUUUAAUCUUACAAGCACAUUCUUCAGAUUGUCGUGUGGGUGGGUAACUUCCGCCAGACUUUUCUGGAGAUGGCUAAUCCAGCCGUGGGAUGUGGUUUCUUCUAACAGCCAGUCAGGAAAAUCUUGCUUCUCAAACUCCUGUCUUGACCCCUUCCUGAACUUUGCCUCCUGGAUCUUGAGGUCUGCCUUCUGUGGAAGAGAAAUACUAGAAUCAAUGAACUGUGAACUAGAGCCCUGGGAUUAUCAACAGCCAGCUGAAAUUUUGAGAGCCACCUUAUAGAAAGCCUAACAGCAAAGACUGGAGAGAGGCUUCCAGCCAACAGCCAGCAAGGAAUUGAAGCCCUCAGUCCAAUAGCAGUGAGGAAUUGAAUCCUGCCAACAGCCUCGUGGAUGGGUUGCUUGCUGCCUGAAUCUAACUCCUGCUACUACUGCAAAUACCACUGCCAUGAAUAUCCUCAGCAAGACCCCCUUCCAGACCUGCAUGAACAGUUGUGUGAAAUGUAUAUGCACAAAGGGACUGCAAGGGAAGACCCAGAGACUAGGGAAGAACUUGGAACAAUAAUCUCAGUUUCUUCAAUUCCUAAACUUGAGAGUAUUGCUGUUUUUAAAUGAAAGUAUUUUUUCCCCCUAAGCAUUUUGUUCUAAAGUUGAGCUGCCUUUGAGGGGAAAUAAAGAGACUACCAGAUUAAUGGGUUUUUUUCAAAUGGGAUGGUGGGGUAAGGAAUAAUCGGGGUGGUCUGUGGAACAACUUGGAGGAUUGGUGUUAUGUCUCAAGAAGAUAUUCAAGUAUGUUCCUCCUUUUUUACCCAGACCGACUGCUUCAUGCUGGGCUUCAGACAUGAGAGGCUAGGAGUAGGAGGCAUGCCUUGUUCAAAGGUCUUAAAUGUGGGAAAUAGUCUACAGUUUGGAAGACACCAGAGAAAAAUGCUCCACAGCUCGCCCUGGUGACUCACUACAACUUAUGGGAAGAUGUGAGAUUAUUCUGUAUUCUAAUGUAUGUUAGAAGGCACACUCCACCCAAAGCCUUCCUGUGUGUUCCUCCCUGUGAGCUCACAUCCCGUUCACCAGCUGACUGGGAAGGGAAGUCAGGACCAGCCCUGACCCCAUCACACCAUCAUAACCUCGGGAUGGCAGGGCUGGAAGGCACCUCAGACGUCAUCCUUUGCAGACUCUUCAUUUUACAGUGAGAGGCAUGACGUGUCCACAGCUGGUUAGUGCCAAAGCCUGGGACAGGCUUCACAUUGUCCAGCUCUUAGUCAGAGCACUGUUGACAAUGUCUGCCUUCACUUGGAAUUCAGCACCUGCUUUCAGUAUAAACCCCUGCAUUUCACUAAAACUGAGCAGACUGCUGGUUUAAAAAAGAGAGGUCCAUCCAGCAGGGAUGAUGCUUUUCCUCGUUGAAAGAGGACAUUCACCUAAUGGGAGACCUGGAGUCAGAAUCUUUCUGAUGUGUGACUUGGCACAGUAACACAAUGCAGGAUGCUGGUGUGUUAAUAAAAAUAAAAAUUGCAUCGCCUACCUCAGAGUCGACAACAAUGUCAAGGAGUUAAUAGUCUUGGCAACACAGAGGCCACUGGACAGAGGCAUAACCUUGCGUGGCAGCUGCACGGGAAUUGGAUUUGGCUCAGGUGUUUCAGAUGACUAAGAACAAAGGGGACCACUCUUGGUAUAGAAGUUCAUCUCGUCGGGAGCAUCUGUGGUUCUUUUAUAAGCAAUGUACAUUCUACAAUAGAGGCAGACCCAGAAAUAAUUCAGAUAUUGGAGUUAGAAGAUCAGGAUUCUAAAAAAACCAAAAGAUCCUGCCUUACUAUGCACCUAUGGCCCUUCAAAGGCGAGAGUAGAAUCUGCUAUGAUUUAGAAGCAAGCAAUAAAAAGUACACAUCAGAAUUGGAGCCUGCACAGAUGUAGAAGGAGGCAUGAAGAGGGUAUUGGAGGAUUGCCCACUAUGCAGUCUGCAUCCUGAGUCUGUGGUGAGGCUGGACACGUUCAAGCUUACAGGAGAACUGGAGAAAGCAAGCAACACAGCGGUGGAAGUGAGACCACUGAAGCAGGGACAAGAGUGGAGGAGACAAACUGGACUCGGAACAAACUGGGAGCCUCUGCAUCCAUCCGUAACUGUCUGGCCGUGACAGUGGUUAGAGAGGAGUGGCUUCUGUGAAACUCUCACAAUCUCAAAUCUCCCACAAGUGCCUCUUUCAGCUAACUCUAAACUGGUACCAUAGAGGAAAUGGAUUCUGAAAACUUGGUCUCCAACCUUAGACAAAUUGAAUAAUUAAUAUGUCCUCUCCUGCUUCUUCUGUAACUGAAUUUGCAUUGGGAAGCAGGCCUGUCACUCUCAGACUUUGUGGUUUGAGUAGGGCUCACUUCAGCACCACCUUUUCCUCUUCUCAGCCCCACGGACUGGCAUGAGACUCAGGCCUGGCCAACUGAAUGUCACACACCUAUGACCAUCAGUUGGCUCAGAGAUGGACUCAGGACACCAUCACAGCCAAUGAAACCCUGUUAGGGAAAUUUGUCAGAACCAUACAAAGAAAUAGCUCCACUUUUCCAUAGAGAUGAGACAUAAGCCUGGACUAACUGGUGUCCAAUUUGCCAUCAAGAGAGCAUCUGAGAAGACAGAGGAAAACUGGGGAAAGCGAAGUCUAAGGAAGGUGAGUAAGGACAAGUCCAGUUGAUAUUACAUGAAUCACCUGGACCUGGAAAUCAAGGCAUUGCUGGAUUCAAGGCCAAGAAAAAUUGGAAGCUGGCUUGAAUCAGGUUCUAUCACUUGCAGUUGAAAAGGUCCAGACUAAUAUGAUAACAAAGGAGCAAGUAAGCAAGAUUCUGCCCUACAGUAAGUGCUCAAUGCAUGUCAGCUGGUAUUAUUAUUAUACAGACUUCUAUUUCUAGCCCUUUUAUUUCUACCACCUCUCUUCUGUGUUUUAUGUAAAGUGCAUAAGGAUUGUUCUGUUUGGAAACAUCAAACCAUAUAAAAUGACACCAGCAGGUCCCUUUCUGUCUGUCAGUGUCCACAAGCUCAACAACCAGGAUCAGCAGACAAAAACAGCUAAGCUGGAGUCAGUGUUUUUAUGAAGAAACAGGAAAAGAACUUACUUGGGAACUGUAGCUCAUCCUCCAAUAUUCUCCAUCCUAUCACUCUUUUCAUGACAGUUUCUUCUUGGCCCUGAAGUUGCCUUGUCAUGGCUCCCUGCCUCUGUCCUUUCUCUGUCUCACUUACAUCUUCCAAUGAGGAAUACAGCAAGACCUUUGGAUGAGGACCUCCAAAGGUCCUCAGUAUCCUUAGGACACUCGGUGCAGAACUAGAGGGACUGAGAGGAGGAGCUUUUGCAGGUUAAAUGACUAGUGAAUGGCCUUUCCUUAUAUUUCCAUUAGAAAUGGGAUUAGCUACACCUGAGAAGGAAUGACUUUGGAACAACUGAUCCCUAGCUUUCCAAAAUAUGAGAAAUUGAGAUGCAGGGAGUAGUAAGCACCUAGUUAAUGAGUCAAAGCAUAUUUAUAAAGUUCACAGGGUACAUAGCAUAUAGCAGCUGUUCUCUAUCUCAGUUGAGUUUUGACUAGGAAAUGGGCUUAGGAUAAAACACAUAGGCUUUUGAGUAAUCAUUUGUAAGAAAUUGUAGAUAGUGACCACAGUUUAAUAGCAUUAGAUAAAUUAUGAAAAGUCACUGAAAUACCUUCUCUGGAAAAUGUUAGAAGCUCAAGUACAAUGGCUUAGUUAAAGGCAGGUGGGGGAGAAACUUGAAGAAUGUGGUCCAGUACAAGAAUACCCCAUUUUUCCCCUAAGGCAAUGAAAAUGACAUGAAGUAAUCAUAGUUAUUUAUACAGGAACAAUUUAGGAGACUUAGAAUAUUCACUUCUUUUGCCUUCUAGCUGAGCAUCAAAAUUCUCUCUCUGUCUCUGCCUCUCUCUCUCUAUUUUCCACUUCUAGCUCCAACUAUUUUAAAUCCCUCCCCCAAUAGAACUCAUAACAAACAUAAAACAACAUUUGUUGUAUGUUUACAAUAGAUGUUCAAGCUAAUAUUUAUGUAGGCUUAGCCCUGGCAUUAAAUUAAGGUUUGGUUCACCAACAGGGUGCCUAGAGACUUCACCUCUAUUUCCAUGAGGGACUGAACAGCCUCUUGAGAAGGGACUCAUCAAAAUGGAAGAGUUGGCAAUAAGAAGUUUGGCUAAAUAACCAAGCACUGAAGUUGCAGAGGAGAAAGGAUUUGAAAGGCAGUACAGUGUCCAGGGGCAAGUUGGCAAUUUUUAGCAGGAGGUGAAGUGAUGCCAGCAGAGGUAACAGUGCUCAGAGGGACCAGUAGUCCCCAGGAGGAGCAGGGGAAUCCCCAGUGGAUCUGAUUUGUUCAAGAGCACAUGUGAGAUUAUCAGCUGGCGUUACAAUUUUGGAGUGGCAGUGAGAAGCAGUGAAUUUGAGGUCACUCAAUUUGCAGACCCCAAAGGGUGAAAUGUUGAGAAACAUGAGUUACACAUGUAUUUAACAGCUCUUGUGUAUUAUCACAAAUCCUAUUUCACCUCUCAUGCCCCCGAGGCUUUGGUGUCCAGUUCUCUGAAGACUUCAUCAAUCCUCAGCCAUAAAUCACCUGAGAGCAACUCACCUUGCUUCAUACUAUGAAGCUCCCUGAUGUCACAGCAUGGCAGGCCUGUGGCAACCCCUCAACACUUAUGCAUGAUCCCAAACAGCUAGAGGAUUAACACCUACGGUGUAACCCUUGACCAGCAGGAAAUGGAAAUUACUGUCUUUUUGUCCCCGCAGGUGAAUGGUUCUAAAAUGCAUUUUAUAAGCCUUCUGAAAUAGUCCCACAGGUCAAGCACCUACUUGCUCCAGUGGUGACCAACUCAAUGAUGCAUCCUUGGGUUGACUCUCCCUCCUUUCCAGUUCACUUUCCCCGCCCCUCACUCCUGCACCUCAGCAUCACAUUCCUGAAUAAACCACUCACACAUCUGUCUUAUUUCAGACUCUGUUUGGGGGAAUCCACAAUAAAAAUUUGUCAUUUUGAGUUAAACAUUGCUCUCACCUUGAAGACAUAUUUCCAUACCUAGAGAUUUCUGAAGUUCUCUCCCUUUUCCUAUCAUCUCCUUUGUGCUUUGUCUGACCUCCAUGUUACAGAGCCCCAUGAUAUUUAGAGCCAGUACUGCUAGGGAAGUAGUUCAGUUGUGUUUUAAAUGGUUCAGCAACUUGUAACAUCAACUGAGAACCAGAGGAAUACACUUGGAGGCCAAGAAAAAAAUGUUAGCUAAUAUGUACCAUACAGUAUGAUUCCUUGGGUAAGGGAAAGUAUAUGCAAGUGACAGAGGAAAAUUGAAAGUUGUAGCCCUUUUUUGGACUUUAGAUUUGGAAUUAAAGUUUCUCUUCUCUUGAAAGACCUUCUUUUUGUGGAUAAUGAUGAAUCUGAAGACCAGAACAGUGGGCCAAUUUGCCUUAGUUGAGAGUGGCAAAUAAAUGAAGAACUGAAGAACGUAUCUCUUUAACUAGUGCUCCUUUGUUGAGAAGAUACAAAACAAACAAUUGAAGGGUAUGGAUGAAGCCAUUGGCUUAUUCAUGUCUCUGUUGAUCAUAAUGAGAUUAAUAUAUAUAGGACAUUCACACAAAGAGGAUAUUGACUCGAUGGCUUACAGAUUAUUAGAGUUAGAAAUGUGACCUACUACUAAAGGAAGAAUGUUUCAGGUGUGGAUCUCUGAUUUAAAAAAUACACCACACUUGCCUCAGUGAAGCAAGUCAACUUAGGUGCUGAUACAAUGCCACUGCAGCUGUGCUGAGUUCAUGAAAUCAGAUCCCACUCUCUUCACCUACCCCUACCGUAUUCAUCCUACUUUCCGUCUGCUCUGCCCUUCCCAUUUGGUAACCUAGUCAUGAAACACCUGGCUCUGGGUCCUUCCUUCAGCAUCACUCCACGUUGUACUGCUGGCAUCGCUUUUCUUGGCACAGAACCUCUUAGGGCUGCUAUCCUAGGAGUAGGUGCUACUCAGGCUGGCUUAGUCCCAGGCUUCACUCACUUCUUGGCCCAUGGCCAGGAGGACCGGAAAGAACAAACUCUCUGCACAUCUCUGCAGGUGGCCACAGAGCCCCCAUCUGAGCCUUGCUGAUGGAGAAGAGCAUGCUGCAUCACAAGAUAACUGUGUGGCUCUGUUCAAAAACCUUGUUUAGAAGUUAUUAUUUCUUUUAUUGCAUUAGAAUUUGCCUCACUGUAGCUUUUGUGCUUCUGUCCUGGUUCAGCCUUAGAUAGCAGUGCAGCCUGGUCCAUGUGAAAGCUCUUGCAAUAGGCCUUUCUGCUAGUCAGGAGUUCUCAGACCCAUCCCUACUCUUCACUUUUCUCAAGACUAAUAUCAGACUCCUGGGCUCUUCAAGGUUUCCUCAUAUGAUAAAAGUUCUAAGCCCUCCAUUGUCCUAGUCACUGUCCUCUCUGUUCCAUCCCUGUCUGCCCUUCCAAGAUGCUGCACCUGGAGAUGAAUUUGUCCUUCCUGGGGCAAGUCACCAUGAGAUGAUUACUUUUGGAUCAUACUGAAUUUGUGGGUUAAAUAAACUCAUAGGUCUUUAUCUCAUGCACUAAAUCCAAAUUCGAUCUCUUGCCGUAAAUCAUUUUUUUGAAUAGCUGAACAAUAAGUAAAUAAUACACAAAUGAAAACUAAUCAAUAUUUGAACAUCCUCAGUAUUUUCAGCCCUAGUUUGAGCCAGACAUAGCUCAUCUUGUAUACUUCACUAAGGACACUUUAUACGAUCAAGCAAUUAAUAUUAUGAUGUCAUGUCUCGCAAGCCCCAUAGUGUCACUUCCAGUCUCUUCACCACAAAGAACGUUGAAGCCUUCGUAUUUUUUUGAAAAUCAUAUUUCUAGCUGCAGGAUGGGAUGUAAGAAAAGUUCAGAUUAGGAUUAUUCUAGGCUCCUGACUAUAACUAAAAUCCUGAUUUUUUAUGGAAAGGAAUGAGGAUCAUUCCUUCAAAUUAGAUUUUUGUGAUAAAAAGAAAAAAGUUGGUAAUCUAUUCAAAAUUGUAACAAAAAUAACUGCAUUUUUCUUUGGAAAAUAAUAGUUGAUUCCUUUUUGCUUUUUUUACUUAUGAAUUGGGGUGCAAUAGAGUUUAAUAAAAAUGAUGUGAAACACUCUUAUAAGGCUAAUUUAUCACAUUUGCUUCAAGGAAUUGUCCUUUCUAACAAAAUUGUGAAAUGGAACUGAACAGUAGCAUGAUGAGGCCUCUACCAGGAGGAGGUACAGAACAAGGCAGGAGGUCAGUGGUUAAAGGACUCCUUGCUUAUGCUCAAGAAAUGUGGACCUUAUUAGAGGUGACACAGUGAAAUCAGUCACCUGAUUUCGCAGGUGACUGUGGAGCAAGAAUGCAAAUCCACAAUAUUAGGAUGAAUGUGAGAGGAGAAGGGAAGGAGGCCAUGAGGGAAAAAAGGACAUCUAAUUGGGUCUGAAAGGAAGGGUAGAAUUUAAGUAAAGAGCACUGUGUACAUAUGGGAAUACCAUGUACUUUCUCAUGGAGAGAGGCCUUCUGACAGUCCUGCAUUGAUCCUGCUUCUUUGACCAUCCCUUGUUAGCCAGCAGGUCAUUUGGCCUCACUAGUUGCCUCAGUGCUGAGUGAUAGACUCAGCAGUCCCCAGCCUCUUUGGCACCAGGGACUGGUUUUGUGGAAGAUAAUUUUUCCAUGGAUCAGGGAGAGGAUGGUUUCAGGAGGAUUUAAGUGCAUUACAUUUACUGCGCACUUUAUUUCUAAUAUUAUUACAUUGUAAUCUAUAAUGAAAUAAUUAUACAAUUCACCAUAAUGUAGAAUCAGUGGGUGCCCUGAGCUUGUUUUCCUGCAACUAGAUGGUCCCAUCUGGGGGUGAUGGGAGACAGUGACAGAUCAUCAGGCAUUAGAUUCUCAUAAGGAAUGCACAACCUAGAUUCUUCACAUGUGCAGUUCACCAUGAGGUUCACGCUCCUAUGAGAAGCUAAUGCCUCCGCUUAAACGACACAGGAGAUGGAGCUCAGGUAGUAAUGAGUGAAAUGGGGAGCAGCUGUCAAUACAGAUGAAGCUUUGCUUGCUUGCUUGCCGCUCACCACCUGCUGUGCAGCCUGGUUCCUAACUGGUACUGGUCAGUGGCCUGUGGUUGGGAACUCCUGGUAGACUAACAACAGAACAAAGCCAAGUCUCAAGGAGAGACAGUUGUAUAGAUGCCUUCCUGCCCAUUCUCUGUUGUGGGGGCCAAAUCACACAAGACCUGCAUUUAAUUCUUUAUGGGCUUAGGCUGUGAAUUAAUGUAAAAUCUCAAGAAACCAAGAUGACAGGCCAGGGACUAAAGAGCAAAAGAAAGACCACAGCUAUGGUGGGCGAGGAGACAAAGUCAAUCCCACCGGGACAGAUGGUGAUGACCCUUAUCAGUUCUAUUCUGUCAUCUCAUAAAGGUAAAGACUUGUGUUCUUUUUCUUAGGACAGUCCAGAUGGUAUUGGCUGUGCUUAAAGAAAAUUCAGACAUGUGUGAGUGUGGCUGGAAUUGACAUUCAUGAGGUCUUCCGUUUUUAUUUGAAAGGGGCAGAGUAAGUAUUUGUGAACAUUGGAUGGUGAUGAAGAAAAGGAAAUGGUGUCUAGUAUCCUACCUGGCCUCAUGGACCAAGACUAGAAGGAUUAGAGGCAAAGUCGAAGGAAGCUGCCACCAUAAAGGGUUCUGUGAAUGCUGUUUGGCUGAAAUGUGUGACAAAGCACUGGGAAGGGUUUCAUUGCAUUAGCUCAGGCCAUAGCACGACCCUUAACCAACACCUUAAGGUGAUGGUCCCCUUGGCAUAAAUAUUGGUGUUAAAAUCGAGGUUAACCUUAGUGAUAGUAUGGUUAAGAGUCCCCUGCAUGACUUUGGAAGUUGAAGAUGCUGAUCAGGAGAACUAGAGCAGGAAAGAGAAAAUAUGACUGAGGCUAAGUGGUGACUUGGUAUUGACUGAUAGGUGAACACAGGAAUGAAUUUCAGCGAGAACCCCCAGUAACUGUCUGGGGAGUGGAGACUGUGUAUGAACAGGACAGAAAAAAAAGCAGAUUCGGGUAGUGUCCUGUCGUGUGUCUCUUUUACAGUCCUGAAAUGAAGGACUUUCAGUGUUUUCAUUGAGCACCAAUCAAUUCCCUCUUUACAAAAGACCAUAUUGGAACAGCAUCAAGGUUUAGGGAUAUUAAAGCAAUACAGUGACACUGGAAUGACCACUGAGAACCAGCGAACUUCUUCAGCCCUUAUAUCCUCAGGCACUCUGGAAGCCAUGAAUCUGGUUUUCUUGCUAAACUGUGUGUACUGCACAGAGUACAAUGGUAAAGGAACAAAUAUUGGCUCUAAAAUCUCUUGUAAAGGGAAGGGUGGUCAUCCCUUUAGAUGGCAAAUUGAGUUUCUGUAAUGGGGUUUGCUCUGAUGUUGCAUUUCCACUCAGGCAUCAAGACAUUCUGUUGUUUAAAGCCCUAGAUGGGUGAUAUUUCUUUCAUGUGCAAGGCCCGAAUGCUUCACUGAGCUCUCUCUUACCCACACACACUCAUUUAAACCUUGGUCAAAAUUAUCCUUUAGCAUCUGCAUCUUCUCAGAAGGCGGAAGGGUCAAUGGGGAUAAUCAGGAGAGAUGAGGUGCACUUUCAGAAGUUGGAGCUGAGAAGGUGAUGGAAGUAUCUGUAAAGUCGUUGAACAGCUGCACGAACUAUAGGGGAAGCAUUUCUGGAGGCAAAAGGGGAAUAGCCCUUUCCUCUUAAACCAAAGCGAGCACAGCUCCAAAGGCACUUAGAUGGAGAGUUCAUCGGAAUGUGAGCUCUAAGAGUGGCUGAGAAUCUGACAAAAACAGCCAUCUGCCAACCCAAAAUUAAAACUCCUCUGUUUAGCACCCAGUAGAGAAAGUCAACCAGAUUGACUUCGCAAACAAAGGACCUUAAAAGCAUCACCUAAGAAAGUGUGUCAGGAUCCACAGACAUCCAGAGCAUUCUCUAUGGUUCAUUACUUACAUUAUUCUUAUCUAUUUACACAUAAUGUUUAGAUGUAAAAUCCUUACAAUGAAAAGGGUGUAUAUGCUUUAAAAAAGGCACAACAGGGAUCUAGAACUAGAAAUACCAUUUGACCCAGCCAUCCCAUUACUGGGUAUAUACCCAAAUGAGUAUAAAUCAUGCUGCUAUAAAG
rnacentral:lncRNA from 10 species